UACGAAGGGGGCGAGCGUUGUUCGGAAUUACUGGGCGUAAAGGGCGCGUAGGCGGCCGAUCAGGUCAGAUGUGAAAGUCCUGGGCUUAACCUGGGGACUGCAUUUGAUACUGAUUGGCUUGAAUGCAGGAGAGGAUAGCGGAAUUCCCAGUGUAGAGGUGAAAUUCGUAGAUAUUGGGAAGAACACCGGUGGCGAAGGCGGCGCUCUGGACCGAGACUGACGCUGAGGCGCGAAAGCGUGGGGAGCAAACAGG
rnacentral:rRNA from 1 species